rnacentral:rRNA from 1 species
GCCUAGCCGUAAACAAAAAUAGUACAAACACAACACUAUUCGCCAGAGAACUACAAGCAUAAAACUCGAAACUCCAAGGACUUGGCGGUGCUCCACAUCGUCCUAGAGGAGCCUGUCCUAUAAUCGAUACCCCCCGAUAAACCUCACCACUUUUUGAAACUCAGCCUAUAUACCGCCGUCAAUUACGCCUACAUUAUGAAAGAAAUAGAGUAGGCAAAAGAGUCACUGACUAAAACAUCAGGUCAAGGUGUAGCAUAUGAAGUGGAAGAGAUGGGCUACACUCUCUAGCACAGAGAAAACGAACAGCACAAUGAAACAUUUGCUUAAAGGUGGAUUUAGAAGUAAGACAAGUAAGAGAGCUUGUCUUAAAUUAGCCCUGGAGCGCGCACAC